CGCCUGGGGAGUACGGCCGCAAGGUUAAAACUCAAAUGAAUUGACGGGGGCCCGCACAAGCGGUGGAGCAUGUGGUUUAAUUCGACGCAACGCGAAGAACCUUACCUGGCCUUGACAUCCAGAGAGCUUUCCAGAGAUGGAUUGGUGCCUUCGGGAACUCUGAGACAGGUGCUGCAUGGCCGUCGUCAGCUCGUGUCGUGAGAUGUUGGGUUAAGUCCCGUAACGAGCGCAACCCCUAUCCCUGGUUGCUAGCAGGUAAUGCUGAGAACUCCAGGGAGACUGCCGGUGACAGACCGGAGGAAGGUGGGGAUGACGUCAGGUCAUCAUGGCCCUUACGGCCAGGGCUACACACGUGCUACAAUGGCGCGUACAGAGGGCUGCCAACUCGCGAGAGUGAGCCAAUCCCUUAAAACGCGUCGUAGUCCGGAUCGGAGUCUGCAACUCGACUCCGUGAAGUCGGAAUCGCUAGUAAUCGCGAAUCAGAAUGUCGCGGUGAAUACGUUCCCGGGCCUUGUACACACCGCCCGUCACACCAUGGGAGUGGAUUGCACCAGAAGUAGUUAGUCUAACCUUCGGGAGGACGAUUACCACGGUGUGGUUCAUGACUGGGGUGAAGUCGUAACAAGGUAACCGUA
rnacentral:rRNA from 1 species